UACGUAGGGGGCAAGCGUUUGUCCGGAAUUAUUGGGCGUAAAGAGCGCGUAGGCGGUCCGAUAAGUCGGCUGUGAAAGUCAAGGGCUCAACCCUUGGAAGCCGGCCGAUACUGUCGGACUAGAGUCCGGAAGAGGCGAGUGGAAUUCCCGGUGUAGCGGUGAAAUGCGCAGAUAUCAGGAGGAACACCGAUGGCGAAGGCAGGUCUCUGGGCCAUAACUGACGCUGAGAAGCGAAAGCAUGGGGAGCGAACAGG
rnacentral:rRNA from 1 species